AAUAUUUAUUUAAUACUUAUAUAAAUUUGGGAUAUGGCCAAAAGUUUCUACACCAAACCGUAAAUUUGGUACUAUGAGUAAAAGUGUAU
rnacentral:ncRNA from 1 species